rnacentral:pre_miRNA from 1 species
GUUGGGAAGAGGAAGAAAGAGAGAGCUUAAGAGCAGUGGGAGUGGGAACAUGAUGGAAAACCUAACAUGUUUGUUUCCUCUAACCAUGGAGGAGAAACAUUGGUGCUUUCCGAUGCCUCCCAUUCCUAUUGUUCUUAGGCACUCCUUCCUCUUCCUUCUGUCU